AUGCUUGGGUGUAGGCCUGCUUCAACACCUAUUGACCAGAAUCAUAAGUUAUGUGCUGAAUCUGGGGAACCGGUGGAUAAGGAGAAGUACCAGAGACUUGUUGGAAGGCUCAUCUACCUAUGUCAUACACGACCCGAUAUCUCAUAUGCAGUGAGUGUGGUGAGCAGAUACAUGCAUGAUCCUAGGAGUGGACACUUAGAGGCUGUCUAUCGAAUCCUCCGAUAUCUGAAGGGUAAUCCAGGAAGGGGGCUAUGGUUUAAGAAGAAUGGGCAUCUUAAUAUAGAUGGAUACUGUGAUGCAGACUGGGGAAGUUGUUUGGAUGACAGAAGAUCAACUUCUGGUUAUUGUGUGUUUGUUGGGGGAAACUGGGUGUCAUGGCGAAGUAAGAAGCAGCCAGUGGUGUCCAAAUCAACAGCUGAAGCUGAAUAUAGAGCUAUUUCACAAGGCUUGAGUGAGAUGUUAUGGGUAAGAAAUCUUCUCUCUGAGUUAAAGAACCAAGCAUGUCGAGAUAGACCGCUUCUUCAUCAAGGAGAAGUUAGAUGA
rnacentral:rRNA from 1 species